rnacentral:rRNA from 1 species
UACGUAGGGUGCGAGCGUUGUCCGGAAUUACUGGGCGUAAAGCGUGCGUAGGCGGUCUGUUAAGUCCGUUGUGAAAGCCCUGGGCUCAACCUGGGAAUUGCAGUGGAUACUGGCAGGCUAGAGUACGGUAGAGGAUGGUGGAAUUCCCGGUGUAGCGGUGAAAUGCGUAGAGAUCGGGAGGAACACCCGUGGCGAAGGCGGGUUGCUGGGCUGACACUGACGCUGAGGCGCGAAGCUAGGGGAGCGAACGGG